GAUGAAGAACGUAGCGAAAUGCGAUAAGUAAUGUGAAUUGCAGAAUUCAGUGAAUCAUCGAAUCUUUGAACGCACCUUGCGCUCUUUGGUAUUCCGAAGAGCAUGCCUGGUUGAGUGUCAUGAAAAUAUCAACCUUGACUUGGGUUUUGUGCUCUAGUCUCGGCUUGGAAUUGGGUGCUUGCCGCUUUUACGAGCGGCUCACCUUAAAUGUAUUAGCUGGAUCUGUCUUUGAGACUUGGUUUGACGUGGCGUAAUAAGUAUUUCGCUAAGGACAUUCUUCGGAGUGGCCUCGUUUCUAGGACGCUUGUCCGCUUUCCAAUACAAGUUCCACCUCGUGGACAUGACUUUUUAUUAUCUGGCCUCAAAUCAGGUAGGACUACCCGCUGAACUUAAGCAUAUCAAUAAGCGGAGGA
rnacentral:misc_RNA from 1 species